ACACGAUGCACACUGCGCUGGCGCUCUCGGCGCUGCUGCUUGUGCUGCGAUCGCCACUUGCGUCGCUCUCCCAAAAUGACGUACUAUGGGGAAGUGCUUUGAGAAGGGCACAGAGGCAAGAGAGGACGAGGAUGAGGAGGAGGACAACAACGACGAUGACAGUGACGAUGACAACAAUGAAGAUGGACCAGAAAGGCUAAAAGGUGCAAGCUGUCCUGAAUUUGCACCCUUCUUUGGGGACUCAGGGAGGCUGGCCCCAUGAGGCUGCUGUCAUCAGGAAUGGCAUAGACCCCUCAAGCUGCUGGAAUUCUGCAGUUUGAUGCAAGACAACAUAGGCUUAUAGUGCAAGUCGCUGGGAAUUAUCCCCAGACAGGUCCCCUGGAGCUUACCUUAUAAUACUGGUAGAUCCUGCAGCCUCCUCAGUAAACAGUGUUAAACUCAGGGCCUUUGCAGUGCUUUUCACUCAGCUAUCCUUUUGGCUGAAGCAUGUGGCAAGUCAUACCUCUGAACCUCAGUUUUUUUUAAUCUGUGAGAUAGAAUAAAAGAGUGGAAAGGACCUCUAGUUCCACCAUUAUAAGAUUUCUGGUCGUCUGUGUUCCUUCAGCUGCUGAAGGAACAUACUGAUUUAGUACUACCAAUCUGAUAGCCGCUUGAUGGAUAAAUAUGAGAACAAGAAAGGCAGCUUGGUGCGGGGGAAACACUCAGACUAGGUCAGACACUUCUGUGCGGCCAUCGAUAAGGUAGUGAACCUCUCCAAGCCUCAGUUUCCUCCACAGAGUGAUUGCAAACCUGCUUUUCAGCCUGCUCUGAAGACCAGCAGGACUGUGUAAUGGGCUUGGCAUUGAGUCAACUCCUGGGCAGCAACAGUUCUGAUAAUUAAUGAAGCAUAUGCAUGGAGCACCUGAUGGGUUUAAGGCACCCCAAAGCAUCAGAAUUCUGCUGAUGCUUCUGGGCGUCAGCAGCUUAUGUAGCAGUAGAUCUAGAAGCCUGGCUAGGGAGAGGGAGGAGCAUGUGAAAGAACCAUGAGCUUUGGAGGGGUGGUCUGGAGAAAGCUUCCUGGAGGAGGUGGGGUUUCCGUAAAGGAAUUUUAAAAUAAGGGUCUAGUGGGGAUAGGAGACCACCUCCUAGGGUGGCUGAGGGGGAAUCAGUUGUACAUGUGGGAGAGAUGCAGGUUAGGGACCACGGCCUGUGAUGGGAGUCUUGGGGUGGGGUCAGUGAACUGCAGGCAGGCACUGGGGAGAGAUGAGCUAUCCAAGCUGAGAGAAGGUUCCUGGGGUGGACAGGCAGGCACAGGUAUUCUCAGCAGGUGUUUUGUGAGACUAGGCUCAUUUUGAGGCAGGAGCAGGCUUGAGGCAGGCCUGAGCAGGGCGGUCUCUGACACAGCACCAGGUGGCAAUGUGGCCAGACCUGUGGGGCGUGGCCACCCAGGGAGGGG
rnacentral:lncRNA from 1 species